rnacentral:rRNA from 1 species
GACGAACGCUGGCGGCGUGCUUAACACAUGCAAGUCGAACGGUGAAGCGCCUUCCUUUUUGGUGGGUGUGGAUGAGUGGCGAACGGGUGAGUAACACGUGAGUAACCUGCCCCCUUCUUCUGGAUAACCGCAUGAAAGUGUGGCUAAUACGGGAUAUUCUGGGUCUGUCGCAUGAUGGGUCUGGGAAAGAUAUUGUUUCGGUGGGGGAUGGGCUCGCGGCCUAUCAGCUUGUUGGUGGGGUGAUGGCCUACCAAGGCGGUGACGGGUAGCCGGCCUGAGAGGGUGGACGGUCACACUGGGACUGAGACACGGACCAGACUCCUACGGGAGGCAGCAGUGGGGAAUAUUGCACAAUGGGCGCAAGCCUGAUGCAGCGACGCCGCGUGAGGGAUGGAGGCCUGCGGGUUGUGAACCUCUUUCGCCAGUGAAGCAGGCCUGCCUCGUUUGUGGGUGGGUUGACGGUAGCUGGAUAAGAAGCGCCGGCUAACUACGUG